UGGUAAGAAACUUAAAAAAAAUCCUGGAACCAGAGCACUUUAGAAGCCUCGUCUGGAGCAGUGAGCACAGCUUCAGUGAGCUCAUGCCAGGGUGCUUCUUGANNNNN
rnacentral:snoRNA from 1 species